rnacentral:rRNA from 1 species
CCUACGGGUGGCAGCAGUGGGGGGUAUUGCGCAAUGGGCGGAAGCCUGACGCAGCGACGCCGCGUGAGGGACGGAGGCCUUCGGGUUGUGAACCUCUUUCGCCGGUGGAGAAGGCGCCCCCGUGUGGGGUGCUGACUGUAGCCGGAUAAGAAGCGCCGGCUAACUACGUGCCAGCAGCCGCGGUAAUACGUAGGGCGCGAGCGUUGUCCGGAGUUACUGGGCGUAAAGGGCUUGUAGGCGGCUGGUCGCGUCUGCCGUGAAAUCCCCUGGCUCAACUGGGGGCGUGCGGUGGGUACGGGCCGGCUUGAGUGCGGUAGGGGAGGCUGGAACUCCUGGUGUAGCGGUGGAAUGCGCAGAUAUCAGGAAGAACACCGGUGGCGAAGGCGGGUCUCUGGGCCGUUACUGACGCUGAGGCUCGAAAGCGUGGGGAGCGAACAGGAUUAGAUACCCUUGUAGUC